UCCAACAUUAUGGUUCACAACUGUGGCUCC
rnacentral:piRNA from 1 species